rnacentral:rRNA from 1 species
AGAGUUUGAUCCUGGCUCAGGAUGAACGCUAGCGGCAGGCUUAACACAUGCAAGUCGAGGGGGUAUGGCAGCAAUGCCAGAGACCGGCGCACGGGUGCGUAACGCGUAUGCAAUCUGCCUUUCACAAAGGGAUAGCCCAGAGAAAUUUGGAUUAAUACCUUAUAGUAUAUAGCUGUGGCAUCACAAUUAUAUUAAAGAUUUAUCGGUGAAAGAUGAGCAUGCGUCCCAUUAGCUAGUUGGUAAGGUAACGGCUUACCAAGGCUACGAUGGGUAGGGGUCCUGAGAGGGAGAUCCCCCACACUGGUACUGAGACACGGACCAGACUCCUACGGGAGGCAGCAGUGAGGAAUAUUGGACAAUGGGCGCAAGCCUGAUCCAGCCAUGCCGCGUGCAGGAUGAAGCAUCUAUGGUGUGUAAACUGCUUUUAUACGGGAAGAAACCCUCUUUCGUGAAAGAGAUUGACGGUACCGUAAGAAUAAGGACCGGCUAACUCCGUGCCAGCAGCCGCGGUAAUACGGAGGGUCCGAGCGUUAUCCGGAAUCAUUGGGUUUAAAGGGUCCGUAGGCGGCCCAGUAAGUCAGUGGUGAAAUCUCCCGGCUCAACCGGGAAAUUGCCAUUGAUACUGCCGGGCUUGAAUUACCAGGAAGUAACUAGAAUAUGUAGUGUAGCGGUGAAAUGCUUAGAGAUUACAUGGAAUACCAAUUGCGAAGGCAGGUUACUACUGGUGGAUUGACGCUGAUGGACGAAAGCGUGGGUAGCGAACAGGAUUAGAUACCCUAGUAGUCC